rnacentral:rRNA from 1 species
AUUGAACGCUGGCGGCAGGCCUAACACAUGCAAGUCGAACGAGUGGCGGACGGGUGAGUAAUGUCUGGGCAAAUGCCCGAUGGAGGGGGGUAACUACUGGAAACGGUAGAUAUUACCGCAUACCAUCGGAUGUGCCCAGAUGGGAGUAGCUAGUAGGGGGGGUAACGGCUCACCUAGGCGACGAUCCCUAGCGGGUCUGUGAGGAUGAACCGCCAAACUGGAACUGAGACCCGGCCCAGACUCCUACGGGAGGCAGUAUUGGGGAAUAUUGCACAAUGGGCGCAAGCCUGAUGCAGCCAUGCCGCGUGUAUGAAUAAGGCCUUCGGGUUGUAAAGUACUUUCAGCGAGGAGGCGUUACUCGCAGAAGAAGCACCGGCUAACUCCGUGCCAGCAGCCGCGGUAAUAC